GCCUACGGGGGGCAGCAGUAGGGAAUCUUCCACAAUGGGCGAAAGCCUGAUGGAGCAACGCCGCGUGGGUGAAGAAGGUCUUCGGAUCGUAAAACCCUGUUGUUAGAGAAGAAAGUGCGUGAGAGUAACUGUUCACGUUUCGACGGUAUCUAACCAGAAAGCCGCGGCUAACUACGUGCCAGCAGCCGCGGUAAUACGUAGGUGGCAAGCGUUAUCCGGAUUUAUUGGGCGUAAAGGGAACGCAGGCGGUCUUUUAAGUCUGAUGUGAAAGCCUUCGGCUUAACCGGAGUCGUGCAUUGGAAACU
rnacentral:rRNA from 1 species